GCUAAACUCAAGCUAGUGGGCUCAUAACCCAAAAAUGAUAAAAUCUCUUAUUA
rnacentral:tRNA from 1 species